GCCAGCCUGGUAUAGUGGUUUGAGCGUUGGACUCUAGCUCAGGAGAUCAGGGUUCAAAUCCCUGCUCAGCCA